UAUAAACCUGUUUGUCCAAAAAGUCCAGCAGUUCAUUACUUGUGCACCGAAAAUUCUCCGUUUCCAACUUCCGUUUAAAUUGUGAGAGGAGUCGUUUUCCUAGUUCUUCUACAUUGUGUGGUUUAACUUUCUUUUUGAUCUUUGAUGCCUCCGUUGACGCUACGUCAUCACCUGAUGUGCUUGUGAUGUCAUAAUGCUGACUGGCAGCAGGAACAAAAAGAGUCCGGUGCAGUUCUUCAAUGUCACUGAAAGGAAUUACUAAGUUGAAACGAUUGUUGUCUUCUGAUGGACACAUGUAUUUGGUAUCACCGUUAUACCUUGAACUGGUAUCACCGUUAUACCUUGAUAAUUGGUAUCACCGUUAUACCUUGA